GCAGAUUCACGUCUGCUCCUCUUAAAUGCAUUAGCUGGAUCUCAGUGAACUCGGUUCCACUCGGCGUGAUAAGUAUCACUCGCUGAGGACACUGUAAAAGGUGGCCGGGAUUGCAGAUGAACCGCUUCCAAUCGUCCAUUUGCUUGGACAAUUAUUUAUGAUCUGAUCUCAAAUCAGGUAGGACUACCCGCUGAACUUAA
rnacentral:misc_RNA from 1 species